AUAUCAGAUUCAUCAUCCACAGAAGUUGAAGGUCUUCUAGUUUCUUGUUUCGUGGAAUCAAAAUACUCCUUUAAGCCAAGGAGACCAAUUUGCUCUUGCAAAUCCUUUAAUGUUUCAAUAGUGUCUUCCAACUUGUCCUUUAUGUUAAGGAAAAAUAUAUCACUUACUUGCUGGUUGCUUGUUUCUGAAAAAUUCUGAUGCUGAC
rnacentral:misc_RNA from 1 species